rfam:Pteropus alecto contig27933, whole genome shotgun sequence.
GGUUCUAUAGUGUAGCGGUUAGCCCGUCUGCUUUACAUUCAGAAGGUCCUAGGUUCACACCCCAGUGGAGUCA